UCGUGUCUCGGACAGGAUGGCAGAG
rnacentral:piRNA from 1 species